rnacentral:snRNA from 1 species
GAAUGUGAGGGUGAUCCGGUUGUCAUACCUGUCAGCCCAUUGACCAGCAAAGCUGAUUGGGUUGAACUGGCUGGCUAGCAGGUGUCCCUGUCCUUCCUUACUACUCCAUGAGCAUCCCUCCCAGAGCUGUCAAAGAAAAUGACCUUCCCCAACAGAAGCAGACAAUUCUUCAGUCAAGGUCAUACGAGCAGCUCAGUAACUUGCUUGACACUUGAAACAAGCUCUCAAGAAGUGCUUGCUUUCUAGUCCUGCCACAUCCUAGAUAUAUGGAUUUUCACAAUUUUCUUG